UACGGAGGAUCCAAGCGUUAUCCGGAUUUAUUGGGUUUAAAGGGUGCGUAGGCGGCUCAUUAAGUCAGGGGUGAAAGACGGUAGCUUAACUAUCGCAGUGCCUUUGAUACUGAUGAGCUUGAAUGUAGUUGAGGUAGGCGGAAUGUGACAAGUAGCGGUGAAAUGCAUAGAUAUGUCACAGAACACCAAUUGCGAAGGCAGCUUACUAAAAUACGAUUGACGCUGAGGCACGAAAGCGUGGGGAUCAAACAGG
rnacentral:rRNA from 1 species